rnacentral:pre_miRNA from 1 species
GGGGGGAGGCUGGAUCCUGGGCUGUGUCCCCGGUGCCCUGUGCUCCCGGGCCUGCGCUGCUGGAAUGGUGCUCCUGGCGGCGGGGCUCCCU